rnacentral:lncRNA from 1 species
AUGAAGGGUGAACUGAGGAGAGCAGGAGCCCUGAGGCACCGAGCGGGACCCUGGGGCCCCAGAACAUCUUUGCCUGGAAACCAUCACUCCCUCCCCCGCCCCUAUGAGCCCCUCCAAGGAAACCCCGGGGCUCUGAAAACUGGACGAGGCUCCAGGGCCCCUGAGCUGCUGGUUCGUUCCGACCGCCCUGGGCUUUUCCCGCCGGGCUCCCAGGCGCCAGGCAGGUGGGGCGCGAGCGGCAGCGGCGGAGGGGGCUCCCGUCGGGAACCUAAACAAAGACCGGGACGGAGGCCCCCCCCCCGCCGCGGGGGUCCUACGCCGCGCGGCCGGGGGCAGGGGGGCGGGCGGGGGCCAGCGGCGGGGCGCCUCCCCGGACGCCCGCGGAAGGAGGGGGGCUGCGGCUCCGCCCGGGGACUCCGCGGGGCUCGGGCGCUCCCGCCGCCCCAGGAGGAGGAAGCCGGGGCCGGGGCCGGGGCCGGGGCCGGGGGGGCCGGGGCGGCCUGGGGCGCGGGGUCCCCGCUGCCUGCCGAGCGCCCACGCCCGCCACACCCACGUGGGCACGCCCCCGCGGCGCACCGCCCCCAGCCCGGCUCCCCCCCCCCCCCCCCCCCCGCGGCCGCGGCGGCCCGCACCCGAGCCUGCACCCGCGUCUGCACCCGCACCGGAGCCCGCACCCGAGCCUGCACCCGCGCCCGCACCCGCACCCGCCGCGCCCAGGCCCGGCUCCCCGCCUGCGCGUCGCUCUUCCUCGCAUCACCCUCGGUGAGUCGGCGGCGCCCUCGGCCCGUCUCCCCGCCUCCCGCCCCCUUUCCCCCCGCGGGGGCUGCGGCCACCCCCCCCCACAGCCCGGCAGACCUGAGACUCGCGAGCCACGCGCCCCCUCGCGCGGGCCACAUUUUGCUUACGAGGGUGGCACCCCCUCCCUCCUUUCCAGACGGACUCGGGGACCCCCGUGUGUCGCGCUGGGGGAGGCGCGGGUGGCAGGGCCUCUUUGUUAGCGCGACGCCCCCCCCCCCCGCUCGCCCUCCGCCGCCGACGGGAGUGACCCCGCAUCCACCCCGCGGCCCCCUCCGCCUCCCGGAGUUCACCCCGACCAGGUGGCGGCGCGCGCCUUUUAGGGGUGCGCGGUCGUGCAAUUGUUGGAUUUUUUUUUAA